rnacentral:rRNA from 1 species
UACGAAGGCGGCUAGCGUUGUUCGGAAUUACUGGGCGUAAAGCGCACGUAGGCGGAUUGCUAAGUCAGGGGUGAAAUCCCGGGGCUCAACCUCGGAACUGCCUUUGAUACUGGCAAUCUCGAGUCCGGAAGAGGUGAGUGGAAUUCCUAGUGUAGAGGUGAAAUUCGUAGAUAUUAGGAAGAACACAAGUGGCGAAGGCGGCUCACUGGUCCGGUACUGACGCUGAGGUGCGAAAGCGUGGGGAGCAAACAGG